rnacentral:misc_RNA from 1 species
UGUUGGGAAUCUACUUCUUUAUAGUUGUAGUUCCUGAAAUACAACGGCCGGAUUUGUAGUAUCCUCUGAGCGUAGUAAUUUUUUUCUCGCUUUUGUUAGGUGCUAUAACUCCCAGCCGCUAAACCCCCAAUUUUUUGUAAUUGACCUCGGAUCAG